rnacentral:snoRNA from 1 species
UCCGAUGAUGAGUAAAAUACAACCAUUGAAUUUCUUCAACUGAACAACCCAUGUGGAUUAAAACAUUUUACAGAGCUUUUUAACCCUGAGA